AGCCUUUAGAGCCACACAACACCUCCACUGAGUUCCUACAAAGCGGCCACGCGAGCGCAACUCCUCAGCGAGCCGCUCUCUGGGGACCAACAUAAACGGGCGCGGGCUGAGCCCCCGCUCCGAGGAGAAGUUGGUGCUGCGCCAGUCCCCCGAGUUAAUUUUUGUUUUGCUGAUAGCCUGAACUCUCGGCUUCCCGGCCCGCCGGAACAGAUCCCGUUAAUCCGAUCAACGCGAGGGUCGUGCGGCUUUACCGCGGCCGGGACGCGGAAAGGGAGCGGGGCCAAAGCUCAUCCCAAAGUGGCCGGAAAAAGUAAAAACAGGGAGGCGAGCAAGCGCUGAGGCGGUCGGAAACAGGCGCAGAGCCUGCGCUGCCCAGGUCCUUCCAGGUGAUUUCUCUCCGCUCCCAAGAGAAACCAAAAGGCGCCGGCGUCUUCUGGAGGCAAAAAUCGCUCUCGGAGGGAAAUUCGGGGCUGUUCCUCGGAGGAGGCGGAUCGAGAGCUCGGCUUGCUGAGCAAAGUAUCUCAGGCAGUCUUCCUCUAAUUCGGCCACAGGAACCGGCUGCUUAACAAUAUUUGAACCGCAGCAGGUGGAAGGCUGCUCUGGCAAACACGGCUUUUCUCCCCCUCGUCCUGCGGGAUGGAGCCCGCCGCGCACGCAGAAACCCAAAACCACCGGAGACAGCAGAAAAAUAAAAAUUAAAAAAGCGGAAAAAAAAAAGAGAAAAAAA